UCUCCCGGGUUCAAGAGAUUCUCCUGCCUCAGCCUCCUGAGUAGCUGGAAUUACAGGUGGUGGCAUGAGUACAGCCGUGAAAGGACACUGGCGUGGGCUGACAACAUUCAGAUGGUCCCCAAGCUCCUCUCUCUCCUCACCAGCCCUGACACACAAACCCAACAUUUUCAUCCCGGAGAUCCUGGGGUACCAGUCACACCAGGAACCUUACCUGCUACGUGUUCUGAGCCUGUGAAUGGAAGGACCCCCUCCAUAUUCUUCUGAAUGGGGGUCUCCCUGUUGCAUCUGGGCUCCAGUACCUUCGGCUCCUUGGUGCUCAUGAUCACCCCACAGCCCCAGGACCACAGCACCAAGCUCACCUGGCUGGUGAAGUUCCCUGGAGUUGGUGUGACCACAGAGAGAACCAUCCAGCUCAGUGUCUUCUAUGCUCCAAGGUACCCAAGGAUCGGUGUCUCUCUAGGAGAUGGCACAGGUGAGCGCUGCCCCAGGGACCAAGAAGAGAUGUGGGGAGUACAGGGGACACAACGCUGAAUCCCAGGUCCCAGUGCUGGAGGGACCUGAAGGCUCGAGAGGGCCAGGCAGUAGGCUGAGUUGUGACUCCAGACUCGGUUUCCAGAUGCCUCCUCAUCCAGUUCCUCCACAGUCUGAGCAGCUGUGUUUCCUCUCUGGUGCUGGAGAACAAGGGGCAAAUGCCACAGCCUGGAAUGGAGGCCUUGCACAGUCUGCUUCUGGCCGGACUCUCCUCCUGAUUCCUCAUCUCCCUGCAUCACCCAAAGACCUCCCACACCCACCAGGCCAAGCCUUCUGUGACUCAGACUUUGCAUGUGUAAUUCCUUCUCCUGAAAUGCCCUUCCUUCCCAUUCCUGCCAAUCCAGGUCCCAAUUGUCCUUCAGGCUCAGUCUUAAUGUCACUCAGUUGUGUGUGUGUGUGUGUGUGUGUGUGUGUGUGUGUGUGUAAUUCUUAUUUGGUUCUGAGUGGAGAAGAGGCAUUCAUUCAUUAUUGGUGAUAGAUACAAAGUGGCAAGUUCAAUUACUAGACUGAGCAUCCAUUAUGUAUCAGCAUUAUUAUUGGUACCAGGGUUUCCUCAGUAGACACAGCAUGAAAAAUCUCUGUCAUCAAGAAGCUAUCAUUCUAGAGACAGGAAAAGUACAAAUGAAAAGAAAUAAUAAAUAAAAUAAGAGCAUGUGGGAUGGUGAUCUGUGUUCGGAGAAAAAGCAUGCAGGGAAAGAAACAUAAGAGAGACUGGGGAACCAUUUCUUAUCUGAUAGUGAGAGGAGGUGGUGUGUAAGCAAAGGUGUGAAGGUGCUAAGCAGGGAAGCUCUGUGUUUGAAUAAGACAAAAGCAUCCCAGGAAGAGGGAAGGGAAGCAGUGAACGCAUUGCUCAGAGGCAGCGGCAGGCCUGGGCGCUGUGGACGCAGCCAGACCCGGUGUCUGAGAGCAGGAGGCAGAGGAGGGAGCAGCGGGGAGGACAGGGCAGCCCGUGUGGGGCCCUGAGGCUACAGAGGAACCUGGAGCCUUUGGAGAGAGCAGAGGCUGGACUGGACUCUCACUCUAACAGGACCCUCAGCUGCUCUGGUCAGAGCAGGCCCGCGUGGGUCACGGCAGCCACAGGAGACUGGGAAGACGCUGCUGGGUCAUCCAGGAGGAGGGAUGGGGCCGAGCCAGGGAGGCAGGAAGGGGUG